CCGUAAGGAGCGGCCUAGGGCGAAACUGGUAAUUGGGGCUAAGUCGUAACAAGGUAGCCGUACCGGAAGGUGCGGCUGGAACACCUCCUUU
rnacentral:rRNA from 1 species